GACGAACGCUGGCGGCGCGCCUAACACAUGCAAGUCGAACGAGCGAGAGAGAGCUUGCUUUCUCGAGCGAGUGGCGAACGGGUGAGUAACGCGUGAGGAACCUGCCUCAAAGAGGGGGACAACAGUUGGAAACGACUGCUAAUACCGCAUAAGCCCACGCCCCGGCAUCGGGUCACGGGAAAAGGAGCAAUCCGCUUUGGGACGGCCUCGCGUCCGAUUAGCUAGUUUGUGAGGUAAUGGCCCACCAAGGCGACGAUCGGUAGCCGGCACUGAGAGGUUGAACGGCCACAUUGGGACUGAGACACGGCCCAGACUCCUACGGGAGGCAGCAGUGGGGAAUAUUGCACAAUGGGGGAAACCCUGAUGCAGCGACGCCGCGUGGAGGAAGAAGGUCUUCGGAUUGUAAACUCCUGUUGUUGAGGAAGAUAAUGACGGUACUCAACAAGGAAGUGACGGCUAACUACGUGCCAGCAGCCGCAGUAAGAC
rnacentral:rRNA from 1 species